rnacentral:rRNA from 1 species
UACGGAGGGUGCAAGCGUUAUCCGGAUUCACUGGGUUUAAAGGGUGCGUAGGUGGGUUGGUAAGUCAGUGGUGAAAUCCCCGAGCUUAACUCGGGAACUGCCAUUGAUACUAUCAGUCUUGAAUAUUGUGGAGGUUAGCGGAAUAUGUCAUGUAGCGGUGAAAUGCUUAGAUAUGACAUAGAACACCAAUUGCGAAGGCAGCUGGCUACACAUAUAUUGACACUGAGGCACGAAAGCGUGGGGAUCAAACAGG